rnacentral:lncRNA from 1 species
AUUUUGAAAGUAAAUUGCACAAAAAUGAUUUCUAGAGAGAGUACAACAACCAUAAUGUAAGUUUUAUGAAUCUGUGAACCUAACUAAUACAAGUGUUUAACAGCCAAACUCUUUUCAACCCCCCAAAAAGAAAAAAAACUGAACUCUAAUUAAUUAUUGAAAAAGUUCCAUACGAAAUGCAUUUAUUCAACAACAAAUAAGAAACAAAAGAAACAAGCACAGGAAGAAAGAACAUCAUCCUUUUUGGUAGAAUCUCGAAGCUUUCAGAUCCUUCUUCUUCAACAAUGGUAUCCAGUUUAGGACAAGACGAACAUCUUUUACAAGAUAUGAGAAAGGGCUGGUGCCACCUCUUCCACUUCUUGCAUGCUUCUUGCUUCCUUCACCAUUUUCCUGGAUGCUGGGAACAUUUGGUUUAGUGCAAACAGGAGAUUAAAAUUGAAAUAGGUUGUUGAAUUUUUGUAGUAUUUUUAAUGCGUUGGCAUUUUAUAUAGUCGAGUAA